CCUACGGGAGGCAGCAGUGGGGAAUAUUUGGCAAUGGGCGCAAGCCUGACGCAGCAACGCCGCGUGAAGGAAGAAGGCUUUCGGGUUGUAAACUGCUUUUAUCAGGGACGAAGAAAGUGACGGUACCUGAGGAAUAAGCCACGGCUAACUAGGUGCCAGCAGCCGCGGUAAGACGUAGGUGGCAAGCGUUAGGCGGAUUUACGGGGUGUAAAGGGCGUGUAGGCGGGACUUCAAGUCAGAUGUGAAAAUCACGGGCUAAACCUGCGGCCUGCAUUUGAAACUGUAGUUCUUGAGUACUGGAGAGGCAGACGGAAUUCCUAGUGUAGCGGUGAAAUGCGUAGAUAUUAGGAGGAACACCAGUGGCGAAGGCGGUCUGCUGGACAGCAACUGACGCUGAGGCGCGAAAGCGUGGGGAGCAAACAGGAUUAGAUACCCGGGUAGUC
rnacentral:rRNA from 1 species